AAUUCAGUUUCUGUUCUUGGCGAAUCCAUUCCGGGUGUACCUCACAGCAAUCCUGACGGUACCCGUAAUGCUUCCGCUGAGAACCGACUGUUACCA
rnacentral:pre_miRNA from 1 species